AAAGAACUCUAGGAGACUACUCAC
rnacentral:siRNA from 1 species